GUGUGAAAUGAACAGGAGCUAGGGAUGGAGAUGAUGUCCUGGCACGUAUCUGGGGUGGGAGCUCCCCCAGCCCAGGGACAGAGACAUUUUGUCAUUGUGCUGUCCUUCUUCUCUUCCUAGGAAGAGAGUCCCCAGGUGAGGAUUCAUGUGACUUGAUCCUAGAUCUGCAGGACUCCAGGUUGGCAGCGCCUGGGAGUACCAGGAAGUCAUCUAGGGAACAAAGCAGAUCCCUGCCGUUCUGCUGAGCCAGUCCCCGCCUUGUUCCUGGUUCCUGCCUCCAUGCACCGCUCUGCCCUCUAGUUCCUGGCUAUUGACUCUGGCUUGACCCUCGACUCCAGUCUCUAACUGCUGACCUCGGCGUGACCCUUGGCUCUAGAUGUUGGCUACGAACUCUGGCUCAGUAUUGUCCUUGUCCUCCUCCAGCCCCACCACUAACCCAGUGCAGCCUUGUCUCCCCCUUCUGAUCCUCCCCAGACACUUAGACUCUGACUACCCAGCUUCAAAUUUCUAUUUGAAUCUGGACUCUGGCUUGAUAUUGACUUGGCUUAUCUUUGGACUCUGACCACCCAGCUUUGACCUCUGGCCUGCACCUGGGCUCUGGCUCCAGUUCUGAUUCUGGUUUGUCUAUGGACUCUGAUCUUGGUUUUGACCUCGCCCUGUCUCCGGAUCUCGGGCCCAGCCCUACACCUAACUGUGACCUACGCUCCAACCACUAGACCUAAUUAUCGGCGGCAGCACCUGACACCAGGUGGUGCAAUGUUUUGCAGAAAAUAGGCCCUUUGCUAGUAUGUGGCCCCUACGCAAGAGGGGACACAUCACACCAGGUGUGAACAAUGGCCUUGCUAACUGAGCCUGCCCCUGUGGUGCCCCUACCAGCAUGGUUCAAUGGAAAUGACUGAACAUGUAGGGGUUUCUUAACCAGCCUAUGCCCCUGGACCUGCCCCACCCCUCAGGCUAAGGGGGAAUUGGUAACUAGUUUAUUGACCGGUGAGGUGCUAGAUUGGGCCUCACUUCUAUUCGAACCAAAUUGUCUGGCAAUAACACACUGGAGCACGUUCCUAUGAUUGGCUGAAGCUCUGCUGCCAAAAUUCUAGCAGGCACAUAGGCUGCUUGUAUACCAUGCAGUUCUGAUGACCUGUGGCCAAUGCUAAGUGGAACCAGGUGGCUCAGUUUUAUCAUUUCCACUGUGCACUGAGUGAAGUGUUCAAGGAGGAAUUAGCCAAGCUAGAAACUCUCACGGGCCUGGACAGCUUCAUUGAUCUAGCCAUCCACAUUGAGAACUGCUAUUGUGAGUGCAGGGAAGAAAAGAGAGGAGGGUGUUACACAGCCGCCUCACCCAGGUUCUGUACUAACACCCUUGAGCUCAUCCCCUCAACCUAUGCUUGUUGAUGUGGUCCACUGACACUUGACCACUGAGGAGAGGGAGCGAAGUCAGCGCAAUAACUUGUUCUUCUACUGUGGCAAGACAGGGCAUGCACUCACUUCCUGCCUCUCAUGGACCCCAGCCAGAAAAGUAUCGGGAAACAAACAAGCCCAAAUUUUCAUGGAAAUCCAGCUGGGUCCACCAAGGCCCUUACCGCAUCUCCAAGUUCCAGUUCAGUUGUGCAUCUCCAGAGAAACAUGACAGGGGCCAUUGCAUUGGGCACUUAUUGAUUCUGGGGUUGCAGACAAUAUCACAAAUUUCGAGACAGCCCUAAGUCUGCAUAUCUUGUCCGGCAGAAGUCACAUUGGAUGUUGUGAAAAUCAUUGACAAGAUCCUCUUGUCCUCAGGACUAGUGACUCAGGUGAUGGUGCCCCUGAAAGUGGUAACCCAGGUACACAAAGAAAUGCUGACAUUCGCUGUGAUAUGUUCCCCACAUUUCUGUGGGCUCACCUGGUUAGCAUGACAGGACCCCCAUGUUCUCUGGCAAACCCAGAAGACCAGCUUGCCCUCCAAGCGCUAUUGGCAGGCCUGUCUCCAUAGCAACAGCAUCGAGUCCCUGGGCCCAGAGGCCCAUUCCCAGACAGCAGUGAGUCCAUCCCUGUAUGUACCAGGGCUCACAGCAACUGGCUGCAGUGAACUGUUCUUUGGACUGACACCUCGCAUUCCUGAUUAGUACCAGAAUUAUUUGGACAUUUUAAAAAAAUGUGGACACUUUGUCUCUGCACUGAGAGCAUGACUGCCCUAUUGACAUACAACUUGGGGCAACAGUUCCCUUUGGCCGUAUUUACACAAUGUGCGAACCAGAGCUGGUGGCUCUCUCGGUGUGUAAUCAAGAAAAACAGUGUAAAGGGUUUAUUCACCACUCAGCGUUUCCCACAGGGACCCCGUCCCUCUUUGGAAAGAAGAAAGGUGGGACUCUAUGACUCUGUGUAGACUACCAGGCUCUGAACAAAAUGGCAGUUUGGAACCACGGAUUCAGUUUGGAACUCCCUGAAUCAAAUGGCCACAUGGUACAACUGACAAUCAUAGAUCAACUGACCGAGAUGGCAGGCUUCAUUCCCUGUGGCCGCGUACCUUUGGCUGAGAGCACAGAUCAUCUCCAAAUUUGCAAACCAUGAUGCCAACGACACCUUUUUUUGCUAACUAUAAAUUAACCCCUGAUUUCAUCCCACACUACCGAUGGCCUCUCUGAACUUGCCAGAUGACAACCUGGUUCAAUGAAUCCACCACAUUCAAGAAGAACUAAGGUGGCACCUAAAGGACACUAGGAAGAACUACAAAUAUUAUGGAGACUGCCAAUGACAGGAGGGGCCUUCUCAGUAGGGAAACUAUUUGCUGAAUGGAAGUACCGAGCCUUUGGCACUGACAAAUUCCUAAGCCCCAUCUGUGGCAACAGUUUCUGCCCCAUCCCCCUUCCUUGACCUUCUGAUCCCAUCCUCCUCCACUGACUGUAGAGAGCAAACUCUGGGUCCCUUCCCUCACCCUGGCACAAUCCACCCCCAGAGUGUCUGAGCCCCUCACCGACAAUGGGACUGUCUUCCCCUCACUCCUUGUAGGGGAGGAAACUAUUACCCCCAUUUUAAAGGCAGGGAAUGAGGUGAUGAAGUGACCUCUCCGAGGUCACACCUAAACCUGGGGUAGAUCUGGGAACUGGGCUGGGUUCCACUCUAUUGCCUUCCCCACAGGGGCAUAGUCACUUCCUCCCCUUCAUUCUCCCCUCCCCUCCCGACCCUUCUUCUAUGGAGGUCUCUGAACAGGAAAUGAGAAGGGCCUUCCUCCCCACUCUGUCUUCCAGGCUCUGGGAUCUGUCCAUGCCUCCUACAUCAAUGGAGCCUGCAGCUGGCCCAGCUUGGGAAGCCAUGACCUCAUCCUGUCAAGCGAGAACAGCUGGUUCUCAGUGAUGCUUAGAUGGCAAAUCACACACCUCUCACGGAGGUAGGAACCACUCACUCAUCUCUGUGAUUGCGGCUGUUGGGACAAAGAUCAAGUUCCUGGUACAUAGCCUGGCUGAGAGCAUCCCUUAUCCCUGGAUCACAGCCCUGGGACUCAGACAUUGUUCUCAUUGUGCUGCGGUAAUUUUAUUCCUAGGAAAACCAUCUCCAAAGGAGGUGUAAUGAUCCUGGACUCUAUUGCCUGCAAGAAGCUUCAGACUGGAGCUCCAGCAGAUUCCCCUGAAGAACAUCACCCUGUCUUUCUGUGGUCAGGGUAGGGCUCUCUGUCCAUCGUGGAGGUUAAGACCAGAUGAGAGCUGAUGGAUUGACUUUGAUAUGCCACGUCCUUGUGUGGAUGAGGGAACUACAUCACAGUGGAGGACAGUAGCAGAUGUACCACAUGUGGCCAGGAAUGGGCUACACAACCUACAAUGAUAGAUCAUCGGCCACUUAGCAGAAUGUGAGAGAGCCAAGUGGCGAUGGGCUAGAGGAGUUACAAGAGUCACCAUGGCUAAGACAACCCAGGCCAGCCACAUCACCCGGCACCUGCACACCAAAUCCAACAACUGAAAUUAGACUGAAGCAUUACAGCCCACAGGAGACUAGAUCAUUAUGUGCCACAGACAGAGAAUAGGAGGGACUUUGAGUCACUUGUUGAACAUCAGGUAACCAAAGGGAGGAAAAGGAAUCAGAAAAGAUUACUACUUCUACAUGGUUUAAAGGUAAAAAUACAGACAUCAUUGGCCUUGAAAGACAUCUGAGCAUUCGCCCAAUGUGCUGUCUCUGCUCUCG